GAUGAACGCUGGCGGCGUGCCUAAUACAUGCAAGUCGAGCGAAUGGAUUAAGAGCUUGCUCUUAUGAAGUUAGCGGCGGACGGGUGAGUAACACGUGGGUAACCUGCCCAUAGGACUGGGAUAACUCCGGGAAACCGGGGCUAAUACCGGAUAACAUUUUGAACCGCAUGGUUCGAAAUUGAAAGGCGGCUUCGGCUGUCACUUAUGGAUGGACCCGCGUCGCAUUAGCUAGUUGGUGAGGUAACGGCUCACCAAGGCAACGAUGCGUAGCCGACCUGAGAGGGUGAUCGGCCACACUGGGACUGAGACACGGCCCAGACUCCUACGGGAGGUAGCAGUAGGGAAUCUUCCGCAAUGGACGAAAGUCUGACGGAGCAACGCCGCGUGAGUGAUGAAGGCUUUCGGGUCGUAAAACUCUGUUGUUAGGGAAGAACGAGUGCUAGUUGAAUAAGCUGGCACCUUGACGGUACCUAACCAGAAAGCCACGGCUAACUACGUGCCAGCAGCCGCAGUAA
rnacentral:rRNA from 1 species